rnacentral:tRNA from 1 species
CGGAGUAUAGCGCAGUUUGCGCAGCGUAGCCCGUUCGGGCUGUCGAAAGGCAAGACGUAGGUUCAAUCCCUACUACUCUGA